rnacentral:rRNA from 1 species
CAAUAGCGUAUAUUAAAGUUGUUGCGGUUAAAAAGCUCGUAGUUGGAUUUCUGUCGGUGAAUAUCAGUCCGCCCACAGCGGUAGGUACGUGAUAUUUCACCGGCAUCUUCCUGGGGAAUGUGUCUGCUCUUUAUUGAGUGGUACAUAAGCCAGGACUUUUACUUUGAAGAAAUGAGAGUGUUUCAAGCAGGCAUGCGCCGUGAAUACGUUAGCAUGGGAUAAUAGCAUCGGACCUCGUUCCAAAGCUGUUGGUUUCUUGGACCGAGGUAAUGAUUAAUAGGGAUAGUUGGGGGCGAUUCGUAUUUAACUGUCAGAGGUGAAAUUACUUGGAUUGUUAAAGACGGACUACUGCGAAAGCAUUUGUCCAAGGAUGUUUUCUAUUGAUCAAGAACGAAAGUUAGGGGAGUCGAAGACGAUCAGAUACCAU